AUACGUAGGUCCCGAACGUUGCGCGAAAUUACUGGGCGUAAAGGGUCCGUAGGCGGUCUGGUAAGUGGAAGGUGAAAGCCUGGGGCUCAACUCCAGAAUUGCCUUCCAAACUGCCGGACUUGAGGCAGGGAGAGGUCGGCGGAAUUCCCGGUGUAGCGGUGAAAUGCGGAGAUAUCGGGAGGAACACCAGUGGCGAAGGCGGCCGACUGGAACUGUCCUGACGCUGAGGGACGAAAGCCAGGGGAGCGAACCGGAUUAGAAACCCUAGUAGUCC
rnacentral:rRNA from 1 species